CGUAACUGACACUGAGGCACGAAAGCGUGGGUAGCAAACAGGAUUAGAUACCCUGGUAGUCCACGCCGUAAACGAUGAGUACUAGGUGUAGGGGGUAUCGACUCCCCCUGUGCCGCAGUUAACACAAUAAGUACUCCGCCUGGGAAGUACGAUCGCAAGAUUAAAACUCAAAGGAAUUGACGGGGGCCCGCACAAGCAGCGGAGCAUGUGGUUUAAUUCGAAGCAACGCGAAGAACCUUACCUAGACUUGACAUACCCUGAAUUACUCGUAACUGAGGAAGCUUUUCGGAGCAGGGAUACAGGUGGUGCAUGGUUGUCGUCAGCUCGUGUCGUGAGAUGUUAGGUUAAGUCCUGCAACGAGCGCAACCCUUAUCAUUAGUUGCUACCAUUCAGUUGAGCACUCUAGUGAGACUGCCCGGGUUAACCGGGAGGAAGGUGGGGAUGACGUCAAAUCAUCAUGCCCCUUAUGUCUAGGGCUACACACGUGCUACAAUGGUGAGUACAAAGAGAUGCAAUCCCGCGAGGGGGAGCCAAACUUAUAAAACUCAUCUCAGUUCGGAUUGUAGGCUGAAACUCGCCUACAUGAAGCUGGAGUUGCUAGUAAUCGCGAAUCAGCAUGUCGCGGUGAAUACGUUCCCGGGCCUUGUACACACCGCCCGUCACACCAUGAGAGCUGGCAACACCCGAAGUCCGUAGUCUAACCGUAAGGAGGACGCGGCCGAAGGUGGGGUUAGUGAUUGGGGUGAAGUC
rnacentral:rRNA from 1 species